rnacentral:lncRNA from 1 species
GGAGAUUCUAUGAAACAUGUAAUCUCUUGUACAAAACCAGUGAAUUUCUCUGGAAUAAAACAAACAACUGUGAAAGCUAUUAUAAGUUAACAGUAUUGCAUAACUGUUUCAUUGACUUUUUUUCAAUUAAUUAUAUUAAUGUAUAAACAGACAGCAUUUAUGAUCCUUUCCAGGGAGAAAUGGGUGUUGCUGGUUUUCCUGGGAGACCUGGAUAUCCAGGCAUCAAGGGGGAUCUUGGAGAAAAAGGGCCCCCAGGUCCUCCUGGAGCUAUUGGAACUCCACUGCUUCCUGUGAAAGGCCCACCAGGAGAUCCUGGAUUUCCAGGUCCUGCGGGUGACAUGGGGUCAGUUGGACCUUCUGGCCCUGUGGGUCUGCUAGGAAGACCAGGAGAUGAUGGAACAAGUAAGAGAUUUUGGGAAUAAAAUAAGAACUCUAUAGUAAGAGAAAACUAAAAGAAAACUCUUUGUUCUUGUUUCAUGCAAGUCACCAAAAAUAUGGAUUUUGGGUCUACAGACGGUGAAAAAAAAUAUAUUAUCCCAAUACUUAAUCAUACUCAAAAAAGAACUAGAAUGUUCCAAAUAGAUCAUUAGGAAUUGCUAGAAAAUGAACAGAAGGCAAAGCAGAAAAUGCUGCCAUGUACUGUAUAUCCAUGGUGUACUGUAUCUGUAACACUGUGCUCAGAAAUCCUGUUCCCAACUUCAGAAAGUUGUAAAGGAGAGUGAUAUAGACAACUUUGCUCUGUAUAAGGACCAACUAAAUAAACUAUGAUGUCUGCACA